rnacentral:rRNA from 1 species
UACAGAGGUCUCAAGCGUUGUUCGGAUUCAUUGGGCGUAAAGGGUGCGUAGGCGGCGCGGUAAGUCGGGUGUGAAAUCUCGGGCUUAACUCCGAAACUGCAUUCGAUACUGCCGUGCUUGAGGACUGGAGAGGAGACUGGAAUUUACGGUGUAGCGGUGAAAUGCGUAGAUAUCGUAAGGAAGACCAGUGGCGAAGGCGGGUCUCUGGACAGUUCCUGACGCUGAGGCACGAAGGCCCAGGGGAGCAAACGGG